rnacentral:rRNA from 1 species
AAACAUAACCUCUAGCCAAACAAAUAUUAAAGGCAACGCCUGCCCAGUGAAUAAUUAAACGGCCGCGGUACCCUAACCGUGCAAAGGUAGCAUAAUCAUUUGUCUACUAAUUAUAGACCUGUAUGAAAGGCAAAAUGAGGGUCCAACUGUCUCUUAUAGUAAAUCAAUUAAACUGAUCUCCUAGUAAAAAAGCUAGGAUCCUCCCAUAAGACCAGAAGACCCUGUGAAACUUAAACUAAACUAUUAAACCCAAUAAUAGCUACUUUCGGUUGGGGCGACCUUGGAAAAAAAAAGAACUUCCAAUACACUACCUUCCUCAAACUAAACUUUAGGCCCACAAGCCACUAAAUUAUCGACCCAGCAAAGCUGAUAAACGAACCAAGCUACUCCAGGGAUAACAGCGCAAUCUUCUUCAAGAGCCCAUAUCAAAAAGAAGGUUUACGACCUCGAUGUUGGAUCAGGACAUCCUAAUGGCGCAGCCACUAUUAAGGGUUCGUUUGUUCAACGAUUAAUAGUCCUACGUGAUCU